rnacentral:rRNA from 1 species
CACGGGGGGAGCAAGCGUUGUUCGGAAUCACUGGGCGUAAAGGGCGUGUAGGCGGUCUGGUAAGUGGGAUGUGAAAGCCCCCGGCUCACCCGGGGAUCUGCAUUCCAUACUGCCAGACUUGAGUAUGGGAGAGGACAGGGGAAUUCCUGGUGUAGCGGUGAAAUGCGUAGAUAUCAGGAGGAACACCGGUGGCGAAGGCGCCUGUCUGGCCCAAUACUGACGCUCAUGCACGAAAGCGUGGGGAGCAAACAGG